rnacentral:rRNA from 1 species
UAUGGAGGUCUCAAGCGUUGUUCGGAUUCAUUGGGCGUAAAGGGUGCGUAGGUGGCGCGCUAAGUCAGGUGUGAAAUUUCGGAGCUUAACUCCGAAACUGCAUUUGAUACUGGCGUGCUUGAGGACUGGAGAGGAGACUGGAAUUCAUGGUGUAGCAGUGAAAUGCGUAGAGAUCAUGAGGAAGACCAGUGGCGAAGGCGGGUCUCUGGACAGUUCCUGACACUGAGGCACGAAGGCCAGGGGAGCAAACGGG